AUCUACAGGUCGAGCAAGUCUCGUAAAUUUCACGAUUGCGAGCCACGCUUCACGCAACCGUGUUUGCGUACUUGUGUUUCGAGUUGCGUGGUCGUGCGGAGUUGUCAAAAUUAAAUCAAUAUGUCAAUAUGGCUACUGGGUGUAAAAGAUACAUCUUAUUCUAUCUGUUCUUAAUGAGUUUUAGAUAAUUUUAGUUGUAUUUCUUUGUAAUUUUGUGUUGUACAAAGAUUAAUUUAACAUUUUCUCUGGAAGUAUUAAUUUAGAAAGAUAAUAUGCUUCAUUGGUGUUGUGUUUUGAAGUGUGAAAUGCAAAGUAAUUGUGAUAAAGUUCACUUUUAAACUGAACUAAAUAAGGUAUCUGAGAGACAACAAUGGUUAAAUGCAAUACAAUGUACAGGUUUUACUAGCGAAAUGAAAAUUUUCCUGUCCUGUCUGCUGUAAUCAUUUUAUAUCUGGAAAACCAGCCGACUUAAUCGAUAAUAACAAUCUCCAGAUUGGGUUCCUUCAAUAAAUAUGGGCUAUAAACACAAUGAAAUAAGUUCCCCAAAAUCUAAAAUGGAGUGGUAUCAAAGGAGAAUUAAAGGAAAAAAUAUUCAUAUUGAAAUUAUUUAUAAGGCACUGGACUGUCUUAAAUUCUACAGUAAUACUAGAAUCAGCUGAGAGAAGUGGUCUACAAAAAACCAGGAAGGAAACGGAAUAUGUGGCUACGAAAGGCAAAAGAAAGGUUUACAAAGCAAAUGUGACACAUUUUUUUGAAAUAUUUAGGAAUAUCAGUAAAUUGCAUUAAAAAAAUGUAUGAAAAGAUUUUGUUCAAUAAAAAUGUUUAUAUUUA
rnacentral:lncRNA from 1 species